rnacentral:rRNA from 1 species
UACAGAGGGUGCGAGCGUUGUCCGGAAUCACUGGGCGUAAAGGGCGCGUAGGCGGCUUGAUAAGCGUGCGGUGAAAGCCCGGGGCUCAACCCCGGGUCGGCCGUGCGAACUGUCGAGCUGGAGCACUGUAGAGGCAGGUGGAAUUCCGGGUGUAGCGGUGGAAUGCGUAGAGAUCCGGAAGAACACCGGUGGCGAAGGCGGCCUGCUGGGCAGUGGCUGACGCUGAGGCGCGACAGCGUGGGGAGCAGACAGG